GACGAACGCUGGCGGCGUGCCUAAUACAUGCAAGUCGAGCGCUGACGGUUGGUACUUUUACCUACUGGAUGCGCAGCGAACGGGUGAGUAAAGUGUGGGGAAUCUUCCUCAGAGCGGGGGACAACAUUAGGAAACGAAUGGUAAUACCGCAUAAAAACUUUAAACACAAGUUUGAAGAUUGAAAGAUGCAAUGGCAUCACUUAAACAUGAUCCCGCGUUGUAUUAAGUAGGUGGUGUGGUAAAGGCCCACCAAGGCGAUGAUACAUAGCCGACCUGAGAGGGUGAACCGCCCAAAUGGGAAUGAGAACCGGCCCAAAACCCUUAGGGGGGGAGCAGUAGGGGAUCAUUGGCCAUGGGCGGCAGUCUGACCGAGCAACGACGCGUGAGUGAAGGAGGGUUUCGGGUCGUAAAACUCUGUUGGUAGGGAAGAAAGUUGGUGAGAGUGGAAAGCUCAUCAAGUGACGGUAACUACACAGAAAGGGACGGCUAACUACGUG
rnacentral:rRNA from 1 species